rnacentral:rRNA from 1 species
UACGUAGGGGGCAAGCGUUGUCCGGAAUCAUUGGGCGUAAAGAGCGUGUAGGCGGCCCGGUAAGUCCGCUGUGAAAGUCGGGGGCUCAACCCUCGGAUGCCGGUGGAUACUGUCGGGCUAGAGUGCGGGAGAGGCGAGUGGAAUUCCUGGUGUAGCGGUGAAAUGCGCAGAUAUCAGGAGGAACACCAAUUGCGAAGGCAGCUCGCUGGAACGUAACUGACGCUGAGACGUGAAAGCGUGGGGAGCAAACAGG